CCACAAUCCCACUGUAGGAGCUGCCGAAGGCUGCGAUCUUUUGCUUUGUGAAGAUCAAAAGAUCGCAGCCUUCGGCAGCUCCUGCAAAUGGA
rnacentral:miRNA from 1 species